rnacentral:rRNA from 1 species
UGCAAGUCGAACGCUGAAGCCCCAGCUUGCUGGGGUGGAUGAGUGGCGAACGGGUGAGUAACACGUGAGUAACCUUCCCUUGACUCUGGGAUAAGCCCGGGAAACUGGGUCUAAUACCGGAUACGACCUCCUGCCGCAUGGUAUGGGGGUGGAAAGAUUUAUCGGUCUUGGAUGGACUCGCGGCCUAUCAGCUUGUUGGUGAGGUAAUGGCUCACCAAGGCGACGACGGGUAGCCGGCCUGAGAGGGUGACCGGCCACACUGGGACUGAGACACGGCCCAGACUCCUACGGGAGGCAGCAGUGGGGAAUAUUGCACAAUGGGCGCAAGCCUGAUGCAGCGACGCCGCGUGAGGGAUGACGGCCUUCGGGUUGUAAACCUCUUUCAGUAGGGAAGAAGCGAAAGUGACGGUACCUGCAGAAGAAGCGCCGGCUAACUACGUGCCAGCAGCCGCGGUAAUACGUAGGGCGCGAGCGUUAUCCGGAAUUAUUGGGCGUAAAGAGCUCGUAGGCGGUUUGUCGCGUCUGCCGUGAAAGUCCGGGGCUUAACCCCGGAUCUGCGGUGGGUACGGGCAGACUAGAGUGCAGUAGGGGAGACUGGAAUUCCUGGUGUAGCGGUGAAAUGCGCAGAUAUCAGGAGGAACACCGAUGGCGAAGGCAGGUCUCUGGGCUGUUACUGACGCUGAGGAGCGAAAGCAUGGGGAGCGAACAGGAUUAGAUACCCUGGUAGUCCAUGCCGUAAACGUUGGGCACUAGGUGUGGGGGACAUUCCACGUUUUCCGCGCCGCAGCUAACGCAUUAAGUGCCCCGCCUGGGGAGUACGGCCGCAAGGCUAAAACUCAAAGGAAUUGACGGGGGCCCGCACAAGCGGCGGAGCAUGCGGAUUAAUUCGAUGCAACGCGAAGAACCUUACCAAGGCUUGACAUGUUCUCGACCGCCACAGAAGAUGUGGUUUCCCCUUUGGGGCGGGUUCACAGGUGGUGCAUGGUUGUCGUCAGCUCGUGUCGUGAGAUGUUGGGUUAAGUCCCGCAACGAGCGCAACCCUCGUUCCAUGUUGCCAGCGGGUUAUGCCGGGGACUCAUGGGAGACUGCCGGGGUCAACUCGGAAGGAAGGUGGGGACGACGUCAAAUCAUCAUGCCCCUUA